UAGUCCUAGCAGUAAACGAUGGCUACUAGGUGUGGGGGGUGUUGACCCCUCCUGUGCCGAAGCUAACGCAUUAAGUAGCCCGCCUGGGGAGUACGGUCGCAAGACUAAAACUCAAAGGAAUUGACGGGGACCCGCACAAGCAGCGGAGCGUGUGGUUUAAUUCGAUGCAACGCGAAGAACCUUACCUGGGCUUGACAUUCUCUCGCAACACUCUGAAAGGAGUGCCUCCGCAAGGACGGGAGAACAGAUGUUGCAUGGCUGUCGUCAGCUCGUGUCGUGAGAUGUUGGGUUAAG
rnacentral:rRNA from 1 species